UGUAUGCAUGCAUGACUAAGUCGCUUUGGAUAAAAGUGUCCGCUAAAUGGCAUUUA
rfam:Salmo salar isolate Sally breed double haploid chromosome ssa17, whole genome shotgun sequence.